rnacentral:misc_RNA from 1 species
UUUUGAUGCUUCCUUGUUUACGGCCCUAAGCAACUGCCCCAAACAACGCCGUGUUUCUCUUUUUCUGGCACCCCUUAGAGAAACGACAACCCUUUUUUACUUUUAUACCGCUUUUUACAAGUUUUUACACUUUUACUCAGAAAAAAAAUGGAGAUUUACGUUUUGAUAGGGUUGUUCAUGGUCUUUCUCAUCGGUGUAGGGUUUUUGAAGUACCGGAAUGGUUAUCCUGUCAAUUGCUGGUUCUGCAAUUAUAACUCUAAAGUACCAUUUAGUGACCGUAACAGUUUUAUUUGCAAAUCCUGCAAGCAGUAUAAUGGCUUCAACAGGGAUGGCAGCUACAAUCGAGUCAUUGAAGCACAGCAUGAUGAAUCACUUAAUCGCCGUUUCUUACAAUUUACAUCCUCCAGCAGUCAGUUCCAGAGACCAUUUUUGCAAAGGAGCCCGUCUAAUGGACUGUGUGAUAGAUGCAACCAUAUACAAGAACUGAGAGUUCAGCAGCUAGCUAACUUUGUUCCCAUUCGGGAUUUUGACAGGGAGAUUGAACAUUUUCAAAAUGAAAUUGAAAAGGCAUUUCGGUUGUGUGACGGGUGUAACUUAAUUGCCGCCUCCCUCAAAUAUGGAGACAUCUUUGAGGGAGGACGAAGAACACUGCCGGAGGAAAGGUAUCAUCAAGAAGUUGAAGAACCUCAGCAACUUAAUAUGAAGCGGAGACGGUCGCCCAGAAGACCAAAUACCCCAACAAGGAUGGCGUUACGGCGAAGAAAGAGUGAAUAACAAGCUCAAUUUUUUUAGAAAAUUUAUUCAAAAUUUCAGGUAUAUUUAUCAUGAAAAUGAGCGGGUAAUGACAAUUGGAGGGAAUUUAAGGGAAACGGGCAAAAUUAACAUUCAGGAAACCAAAGGAAUGUCUAUAGUUUGCGGCGCAGGCAAGUGGAUGCCCAAUCUAAAUUAAGGUGAAUCAGCCUUUAUUAAUAGUCCAUAAACUUUACUGUUACCAGUUUUUUGGUAACUAAUAACAAUAGUUAUUACAGUUACAACAGCAAUCCAGGAGUUUAAGGCAAAAUUAUUACAGUGGUAGAAGGUCCACAUUUUAUGUCCCAUUAGGGUUCUUGGAGUGAAAAAUUAAAACACAAUUGAAGGAGAUUAAAACUAUUGUACUGUCGUACAUUUUAUUUAGCAGAAAAAUACAAGGAUGUCCUGACGAAUAUCGAAAGUCUUCUACAUCUCUUUAUUGUGCUUAUUGAGCCGUUCAAUAUGGCAAAUAAUUAUGCUGAAAUUAAUUAUUUCAAAAUUUACUGAAAUAUUCAUAAUAAAUUUUAGAAUGAAAUUUUAGAAAAAAAAAUGGGAGGGAAUUUAAAGAAUUGGCUGUUAAACAAUGGGCGAAACCAAAGGUGUCUAAAAUGUCUCAAAGCAGACAAGGCAAGAAGAGGAGGAAAAAAAGGACGAAUUAAAUUAAAAUUGUAAUACAAGGUAACAAUUACCCGCCCAUCUCCGUAGUUCCAAAAUCCCAGCGUCAGUUCUAUCCGACCUUACCAUCGAAAUUUUCAAGAUCUUUACAUAUAUUUAUAAUUUUUUUUAUACUACGGGGUUGCAAAUUAAAAUAAUUGAAAAAGUUA